GAGAGAGAGAGAGAGAGAGAGAGAGAACAGAUUCCAGUCCUCUACAUAACCCAUCAUAAUGCCACUCCAUUAUUACUAUCUUUCCAACUACCUAAAACCCAUACAUAAUCAUCUGUACAAACACGUUUUUAAAACUAUAUGUCCUAAGAUUUCUAUUCGAGAAAUCAAGUCCCAGUGCUAAUUAAUAAAUAUGAUGGGAC
rnacentral:misc_RNA from 1 species